GCGGCAGGCUUAACACAUGCAAGUCGAGGGGUAACAGGGAAUAGCUUGCUAUUUUGCUGACGACCGGCGCACGGGUGAGUAACGCGUAUAGAACCUACCUUUUACAGGGGAAUAGCCCAGAGAAAUUUGGAUUAAUGCCCUAUAGUAUUAUUGAAUGGCAUCAUUUAGUAAUUAAACAUUUAUGGGUAAAAGAUGGCUAUGCGUUCUAUUAGCUAGAUGGUAAGGUAACGGCUUACCAUGGCAACGAUAGAUAGGGGUCCUGAGAGGGAGAUCCCCCACACUGGUACUGAGACACGGACCAGACUCCUACGGGAGGCAGCAGUGAGGAAUAUUGGACAAUGGAGGCAACUCUGAUCCAGCCAUGCCGCGUGCAGGAAGACGGCCCUAUGGGUUGUAAACUGCUUUUAUACGGGAAGAAACCCAACUACGUGUAGUUGGCUGACGGUACCGUAAGAAUAAGCACCGGCUAACUCCGUGCCAGCAGCCGCGG
rnacentral:rRNA from 1 species